rnacentral:miRNA from 1 species
UCGGGCUCUCUCGCCGGAUACCUGG